AUGCACGCUGGCGGCGUGCCUAAUCCAUGCCAGUCGAGCGAACAGAUGAGGAGCUUGCUCCUCUGACGUUAGCGGCGGACGGGUGAGUAACACGUGGAUAACCUACCUAUAAGACUGGGAUAACUUCGGGAAACCGGAGCUAAUACCGGAUAAUAUAUUGAACCGCCUGGUUCGAUAGUGAAAGACGGUUUUGCUGUCACUUAUAGAUGGAUCCGCGCCGCAUUAGCUAGUCGGUAAGGUAACGGCUUACCAAGGCAACGAUGCGUAGCCGACCUGAGAGGGUGAUCGGCCACACUGGAACUGAGACACGGUCCAGACUCCUACGGGAGGCAGCAGUAGGGAAUCUUCCGCAAUGGGCGAAAGCCUGACGGAGCAACGCCGCGUGAGUGAUGAAGGUCUUCGGAUCGUAAAACUCUGUUAUUAGGGAAGAACAAAUGUGUAAGUAACUAUGCACGUCUUGACGGUACCUAAUCAGAAAGCCACGGCUAACUACGUG
rnacentral:rRNA from 1 species